rnacentral:rRNA from 1 species
GCUCGCACGAAAGUGCUUGCCUCUACAUAUUCUCAGGUUUAUGUUCCAUACACACUUAUAACACAUCGAAUGUUUGUUUACUGGUUGUAAUAGACCUCUAAAUUAAAUACAACUUUCAGCAACGGAUCUCUUGGCUCUCGCAUCGAUGAAGAACGCAGCGAAAUGCGAUAAGUAAUGUGAAUUGCAGAAUUCAGUGAAUCAUCGAAUCUUUGAACGCACCUUGCGCUCUUUGGUAUUCCAAAGAGCAUGCCUGUUUGAGUGUCAUUAAAUUCUCAACCUGACUUCGGUUUUACGACUGUUGACAGGCUUGGAUUUGGGGGUUGCCGGCAUCUGUAAAAAGAAAGUCAGCUCCUCUUAAAAGUAUUAGCAGUAACUAGACGACUGUUCCUUGAUGUGAUAAUUAUCUACGUCUUGUGCAAUAGAAAUCAUUAUAACGUUAUGCUUCUAACUGUCUGUUAACUCGGACUGUUUGCUUGUCAAACAUUAUGACUCUUGACCUCAAAUCAGGUAGGACUACCCGCUGAACUUAAGCAUAUCAAUAAGCGGAGGAAAAGAAACUAACAAGGAUUCCCCUAGUAACUGCGAGUGAAGCGGGAGAAGCUCAAAUUUAAAAUCUGUUAGCCUUUGGUUGACCGAGUUGUAAUUUAGAGAAGCGUCUUCCGUGC